GACGAACGCUGGCGGCGUGCUUAACACAUGCAAGUCGAACGGUGAUGCUCCAGCUUGCUGGAGUGGAUCAGUGGCGAACGGGUGAGUAACACGUGAGCAACCUGCCCCAGACUCUGGAAUAAGCGCUGGAAACGGCGUCUAAUACUGGAUACGAAACUGGCCCGCAUGGGCAUGGUUUGGAAAGUUUUUCGGUUUGGGAUGGGCUCGCGGCCUAUCAGCUUGUUGGUGAGGUAAUGGCUCACCAAGGCGACGACGGGUAGCCGGCCUGAGAGGGCGACCGGCCACACUGGGACUGAGACACGGCCCAGACUCCUACGGGAGGCAGCAGUGGGGAAUAUUGCACAAUGGGCGAAAGCCUGAUGCAGCGACGCCGCGUGAGGGAUGACGGCCUUCGGGUUGUAAACCUCUUUCAGCAGGGAAGAAGCGAAAGUGACGGCACCUGCAGAAGAAGCACCGGCUAACUACGUG
rnacentral:rRNA from 1 species